UCUAAUAUGGCAGAAUAAUUGCAUUGAAUUUAAGCCUCAACUAUAAAGAAUACCCAACUAAUUCUUUUUUUAGAA
rnacentral:tRNA from 1 species